rnacentral:lncRNA from 1 species
UGCAGAAUGGUCUUCAGAUAAUUUUCUGUUUCUUAUAGAGGCCUGUCUAGUUGCAUUAAUACCAAGAAUUUCCUCACACUUGAGUGAUUGUUCUUAAUGCAUAGCUUGUUGCUGCAUUUUCAAAAGGCCGAGAGAGUGAUUACUUCUACGUUUCUUUAUAUGCUGGGCUUUAUUAUGAAAGUCGGGUUUCUUAACGCCUAGCUUGUUGCUACAUUUUCAAAACGCCUAGGCGGUCUAAAACACUUGAAUGGCAUUUGCCACGCG